rnacentral:lncRNA from 1 species
AUCAAAUCCCAACAGCCCACGGGAAAGACUGCCGCAGGGAGGACGUGUCCACAGGUCAAAGAGGGCUACAAAGUCCAGUCAGAUGUGAACAUCACACUGGAGUUUCGAACCUCCUCGCAGAAUGGCGUCCUCCUGGGGAUCAGCACUGCCAAAGUGGAUGCCAUUGGACUAGAGCUUGUGGACGGCAAGGUCUUGUUCCAUGUCAACAAUGGUGCUGGCAGGAUAACAGCUGCAUAUGAGCCCAAAACCGCCACUGUGCUCUGUGAUGGAAAAUGGCACACUCUUCAAGCUAACAAAAGCAAACACCGUAUCACUCUGAUUGUUGACGGGAACGCAGUUGGCGCUGAAAGUCCACACACCCAGUCUACCUCAGUGGACACCAACAAUCCCAUUUAUGUUGGUGGCUAUCCUGCUGGUGUGAAGCAAAAAUGCCUGCGCAGCCAGACCUCGUUCCGCGGGUGUUUGAGGAAGCUAGCUCUGAUUAAGAGCCCGCAGGUGCAGUCCUUUGACUUCAGCAGAGCGUUCGAACUGCACGGAGUUUUCCUUCAUUCCUGUCCUGGGACCGAGUCCUGAACUUCAAGCAGAAUCCUCAGUUGGAAUCAUUGCUAAUAUUUUGAGGAGAAGUGUAUGUGUGAAUUAAGAAUCUCUUCAGUUCAUAUUUCAUUUCCAACUCAGGUUAAGUGUUUCUGGGGAGAGAUGUUGUGUUUACGUUACACUAAAACCACAUGUGCAACAAAUACCUCCAUUAAAUGGUCUAAAAUGUAAAUUGAAUUCCCU